GACGAACGCUGGCGGCGUGCUUAACACAUGCAAGUCGAACGGAAAGGCCCUGCUUUUGUUGGGUGCUCGAGUGGCGAACGGGUGAGUAACACGUGAGUAACCUGCCCUUGACUUUGGGAUAACUUCAGGAAACUGGGGCUAAUACCGGAUAUGAGCUCCUGCUGCAUGGUGGGGGUUGGAAAGUUUCGGCGGUUGGGGCUGGACUCGCGGCUUAUCCGCUUGUUGGUGGGGUAGUUGCUUACCAAGGGUUUGACGGGUAGCCGGCCUGAGAGGGUGACCGGCCACAUUGGGACUGAGAUACGGCCCAGACUCCUACGGGAGGCAGCAGUGGGGAAUAUUGCACAAUGGGCGGAAGCCUGAUGCAGCAACGCCGCGUGCGGGAUGACGGCCUUCGGGUUGUAAACCGCUUUCGCCUGUGACGAAGCGUGAGUGACGGUAAUGGGUAAAGAAGCACCGGCUAACUACGUG
rnacentral:rRNA from 1 species